rnacentral:rRNA from 1 species
GACGAACGCUGGCGGCGUGCCUAAUACAUGCAAGUUGAGCGCUGAAGGUUGGUACUUGUACCAACUGGAUGAGCAGCGAACGGGUGAGUAACGCGUGGGGAAUCUGCCUUUGAGCGGGGGACAACAUUUGGAAACGAAUGCUAAUACCGCAUAAAAACUUUAAACACAAGUUUUAAGUUUGAAAGAUGCAAUUGCAUCACUCAAAGAUGAUCCCGCGUUGUAUUAGCUAGUUGGUGAGGUAAAGGCUCACCAAGGCGAUGAUACAUAGCCGACCUGAGAGGGUGAACGGCCACAUUGGGACUGAGACACGGCCCAAACUCCUAAGGGAGGCAGCAGUAGGGAAUCUUCGGCAAUGGACGAAAGUCUGACCGAGCAACGCCGCGUGAGUGAAGAAGGUUUUCGGAUCGUAAAACUCUGUUGGUAGAGAAGAACGUUGGUGAGAGUGGAAAGCUCAUCAAGUGACGGUAACUACCCAGAAAGGGACGGCUAACUACGUG